rnacentral:rRNA from 1 species
UAAACUGAAGAGUUUGAUCAUGGCUCAGAUUGAACGCUGGCGGCAGGCCUAACACAUGCAAGUCGAGCGCGAAAGCCCUUUCGGGGGUGAGUAGAGCGGCGGACGGGUGAGUAACGCGUAGGAAUCUACCUGGUAGUGGGGGACAACAUGGGGAAACUCAUGCUAAUACCGCAUACGCCCUACGGGGGAAAGCGGGGGACCUUCGGGCCUCGCG